GACGAACGCUGGCGGCGUGCCUAAUACAUGCAAGUCGAACGCUUCUUUCCUCCCGAGUGCUUGCACUCAAUUGGAAAGAGGAGUGGCGGACGGGUGAGUAACACGUGGGUAACCUACCCAUCAGAGGGGGAUAACACUUGGAAACAGGUGCUAAUACCGCAUAACAGUUUAUGCCGCAUGGCAUAAGAGUGAAAGGCGCUUUCGGGUGUCGUUGAUGGAUGGACCCGCGGUGCAUUAGCUAGUUGGUGAGGUAACGGCUCACCAAGGCCACGAUGCAUAGCCGACCUGAGAGGGUGAUCGGCCACACUGGGACUGAGACACGGCCCAGACUCCUACGGGAGGCAGCAGUAGGGAAUCUUCGGCAAUGGACGAAAAUCUGACCGAGCAACGCCGCGUGAGUGAAGAAGGUUUUCGGAUCGUAAAACUCUGUUGUUAGAGAAGAACAAGGACGUUAGUAACUGAACGUCCCCUGACGGUAUCUAACCAGAAAGCCACGGCUAACUACGUG
rnacentral:rRNA from 1 species